CCUCUUACCCGGGUAGGUCGGCCAGAUCCGCAAAAGCCCUCUUACCCGGGUAGGUCGCCAGAUCCGCAAAAGCCCUCUUACCCGGGUAGGUCGCCAGAUCCGCAAAAGCCCUCUUACCCAGGUAGGUCGCCAGAUCCGCAAAAGCCCUCUUACCCGGAUCUGGCGACCAGAUCCGCAAAAGCCCUCUUACCCGGGUAGGUCGCCAGAUCCGCAAAAGCCCUCUUACCCGGGUAGGUCGCCAGAUCCGCAAAAGCCCUCUUACCCGGGUAGGUCGCCAGAU